GCGGCCCUGCCCGCCGUAGUAGCUCCGAUUCAGCUACUCGUGUAGCCAGGGAUUCAUUCCCCUCCUCUGGAUCUCCCGCCUUCUCUGGGUUCGAUUCCGACUUUGCUGCGGAGAAGAAAGGUCAUCCUCUGCCUCGCCCCUCCGUCAGUGAUCGCGGCGGCGGCUUCGGUGAUCAGGGGUUCGGUUCUGCUUCCGGUUCCGUAUCUAGUGUCAGCUCUACUGGCUCUGAUGAGCAGCACCAGAUUGUGAAUAUUGAUCAGCAGGCUAGCUUCUUUG
rnacentral:lncRNA from 1 species